rnacentral:rRNA from 1 species
GUGGGGAAUAUUGGACAAUGGGCGAAAGCCUGAUCCAGCCAUGCCGCGUGUGUGAAGAAGGCUUUCGGGUUGUAAAGCACUUUCAGUGGGGAAGAAAUCCUCGGGGCCAAUACCCUCGAGGGAGGACAUCACCCACAGAAGAAGCACCGGCUAACUCCGUGCCAGCAGCCGCGGUAAUACGGAGGGUGCGAGCGUUAAUCGGAAUUACUGGGCGUAAAGCGCGCGUAGGCGGCGUGAUAAGCCGGUUGUGAAAGCCCCGGGCUCAACCUGGGAACGGCAUCCGGAACUGUCAGGCUAGAGUGCAGGAGAGGAAGGUAGAAUUCCCGGUGUAGCGGUGAAAUGCGUAGAGAUCGGGAGGAAUACCAGUGGCGAAGGCGGCCUUCUGGACUGACACUGACGCUGAGGUGCGAAAGCGUGGGUAGCAAACAGG